GGCAGUUCUCAGGUGACACUCCCAGAAUCAGGCUCUCUCCUCUCUGGUUCCAGGGUGCAUAACCCCAGAACCGCC
rfam:Myotis brandtii contig297803, whole genome shotgun sequence.